GGGGUGUGCUCUGCGACCGGCGCGAGGACAGCCCAGGAGUCGCUGCCUGUGCCAAACCCGGUGCGGGGACAGCCCGGGGGUCGCUGCCUGUGCCAAACCCGGUGCGGGGACAGCCCGGGGGUCGCUGCCUGUGCCAAACCCGGUGUGGGGACAGCCCGGGGGUCGCUGCCCGGCUGCCCCAGUGCCGCGGGCUCGCUGCCCCCCCGUCCCCCUCACGCCCGCCCAACAUGGCGUCCGGCGGGCGCCGCCGCGCCCCCUCCUGGCAGCCCGCGGCAAUGGCGGCCGCCGGGCGGGACGAUGUAACGCCCUCCUGUGCGCCCGGGCUUCGGCGAAGCCAUCCAAAAAACAUAAAAAAGUGAGUUCCCUGGGUGUUUCCCGCAGCCCUGGACAAGGUAUGGCAGGUGUGGCAUCCGCUUUGCUGAAGCUCAUCCCACAUGGAUCAUGCCCGUCGAUGGCGACCGACACCACCCGGGUGAUGAACGUGCUCAGAGCUCUGAGGUGACACAGAUGACACAGAAAUGCCCCAACUGUUGUGGGUGGAAGAAUAGGCUCACCUGCUCAGCCUCCCUGAGAAGCAGGUAAACACUGAAUCACCUAAACUGCAAACUGACUUUCCUAUAUGGUGUCUGCUGAUUUUUUUGCCUUGAUGGACCAGGAGGUUCUUCAAUGGUCAGUUCUAAAGUAGAAGGGAAGUGUAGAUACAUUCAAGAGAGAUUCUGCUUUUGUAAAGAAGCUUAAAUUCUGGAAUUCUAGAAACACUGGUGAUGGUUUUGAUUUGAACCUGAAUGCAAAUAUGAGUUGGCUCUUUUGCCCAUUGACUAGAUGAGUGGGCUAAAGACUAUUAACACUAUACCAUAAUAUCUUCCCUUAUGAAGUGGGAGAGAACAUGGAUCAUUGACCUGGAAGUGCUUCACCUUUCUAUGUUUUUAGUUUUCUCCUUGUUCAUUAGAUUUAAUAAUACUUAACUUUUCUUUUGAGUUGCCUAUAUGAGAUCCUUCAGCCCUAAUGUGAAAAAGCAAAUUUUAAAACAAUAAACAGUCUCCAUUCCACAUGUUUGUUUUAGGAUUAGCUCAGUGUUACUGAGGUUGGCCUAGAAGCUCCUAUUUAACCUUACCAGUUAUCUAACAAAUGAUUGAAUAUAACUAGAUGGGAGUUCUUUUAUUUCAAAGAAGUAAUUGAAAAUCGACUUUCACAGGGUGAAAGUUGGCAUAAUUGGCAUCAGCAUGAAUUUUUCAUUGUGCAAGUAAAAACAGGGCCAGGAUUUCACCUAAUGACUUUAACUCAAAGAGAUAUGCAAAUUUAGAUCUGUGUAUUGUGAGUAUUAUGAAUGAAGCCCACAAUAGCGGCCUGAUUAUGCUUUUUUACACUCCCAGAUUUAAUCUAAGAUUUAUCUUGGCAGUAGGGGAAAGCAAGUCUUUGAUGCUUUGAGAUUUAAAUUAUUUCCUUGGAGUCAUCUAGGGGAGUUCUCUUACUGGAAGAAAGUAUAGUGGAAGGACUGUUGAUCCAUUCCAGCCUAUUGAAAGCUCUGUAGCAGUAAUUACCUUAUAUAUCUUCAUAAAAAUGUGUUUUAUUUUGCUACCAGUCCUCAGGCUCUUUGAGUGACUGCAAUGAGGAGCUCUGAAAGUUACUUUGGUCCGUUCAUAACUAAUUCUCUUGCCUUUACAGAUCAUAACAGUCGUGUAAGAGCCAUCAAGAAACUUUUCAUGUUGUUUUGCAGAUAUCAUAUGUUUGCCAUCUGACUGUACAAGACAUUCUGUUCCAAGGCAGAGGUUAUAGAGGCACACAGGCAGGAAAGGGUUGGCUGGAUACAUGUAACCCCUCCUGGCAGAAUUCUAGAGGAAAGGGAUAGUUAUGCAGAGAAAUACAAAAUUGUUAGACUGCACUGUAGUGCUUCCCAGCUGCUGAUCCUAAAAAGUCCUCUGAUGUUUCCUUAGUACUUCACAAUACUGAGCCUCACUUCCAGUGAUUUUUGUCAGCAAAUAGUAUGGAAGACUAAGGUAACAAAAUCAUUUGAAUAUGGAAUUGAGCCAAGCUUUUAUUAUGAAACAAUACAUGAAAUACUCAUCAGGCAAUUAAACACAGUGUUGUGUAAAUGUUAUGUCUUCAUGCAAUAUUGUUAUUUAACCUAGAAAACUGUAAUUAAGGAUUCCUCUAAAGUCCAGAAAGCUGGCUGCCUCUUCAUGUUGAUAUUCUCCCAUUUUCAAUGGACCUCUCCCUCUAAGUUCCUCUUGCUUCAGACAGUCUAAAGCUGUGCCCUUUAAAGGGCUAAUCAGGGACUUAUUCUUGCCCAUAACUCAGAAACUGGGGGAAACCCUUGGUUCAUUUAUUCAUGUAUGCAGUCAUUACUGGUAGAAAAUAUAUGGUGGUCUAUAACAUAUGUAACCACUUGUAGCUGGAAGUUUUGCUCUAUCACUAGGAUUGCACUGUACUGCAAAGAGGUUCAGCUCUACAAUGAGCACGUAGCCAAUGCAGGAAUAAUCUCUUCCUCCCUAACACAGUCAUAGUAUAAAUCCAUGUGCCCAUGGAGAUCUGCAGAAAAAAACAAAAUAUAAUUAAAAGCCAUUCUGACAUUGGCCAUACUAAUAACAUCUAAAGGACUUGAAAUCAUUUAAGCACUUUUCUAACAUGAAUUCUUCACAGUGGCCUGUGAGAAGCUGCUGUGCAGAAUUCCUGUAGCUAAGUGAGCCAGCUCUCAGCUGUGCCUCAGCUGGAAGAUUUUUUGAAAACUGCCAGCUUACCUCCUAAGGGUGAGGUUUGAGAAUUUUAUGUUUUUGUUUUUAAAUAAGUUUCAGACCUUUGGCUUGUUGUGGAUUAGCAUAACUCCAUUGAAGUCUACCACAACACGCAGAUUUUUAAAGGUAUUUAGGUAUGUACAAAUAGCAGAAUUUUAAGCAGACGAACUUUCUGUCUCUUGAAACAGAUCGGCCCUGACAGACACCAUCUCUGUAUUCUCCUGCUUAAAAGCUUUUGAAAACAUGGAGCUAAAUCUGCAACUUUUAUGUUAAAAAGGUAAUUGGGAGUGAUAUAGAAUCACUGUUGUGGCAGUGAUUCAAAUGUAUGCCAGUUGACAAAUUUUAAAGAAUGCAGGAAGGCUUCUCCUGUCAUAAAAAUGUCCAAAUAUAUGUUAUAUAUAUAUGUAUAUAAAAUAAGUAUGCACUGUAGAAGAAAUAUAUAUACCAAUUGCAGGGUAGGCAAAAGCAUUAGAUUGGAUGCACUAGAUCCCUGUUGCAGUGGGGGAGACAAUGUGGAUUCAGCCAGUGUUCAAGGAGUUGUUCUUCUGAUCUCUGCUCCAAGCGCUGGAGAUAAAGCAUAUACUCCUAUUUAAAGAAAAGAAGUAAUUUCAUUAUGUAAUCACUCCAUUCUAAUGUCAGGCCAAUGAACCAGCAGAAUUUUACAGCUUAUGUAAGAGCAAUUCAUUUACCUCUUAAAAUAAUCAAAUAUAGUGAAAUAGUCUUGCUGGUCAGCUUGCCCCAACCUAGCAAUAUUUAAUGAAUGACAUCAUCAGUAAAGGUGGCAAGCAAGAAUUUUACAACAAUAUUCAUAAAUUUGGAAGUCUACAUACACAUUUCUCAUUUGCAUAUCAACACAGAAGCCUCUGUUGGUCCUGAGGGCACAGAGGAUUCUCAGGGAUAGGUCUGUUGUAGCCUCUUUUGAAAAUUGAUUCCUGCUGAUUAAAGAACAUUAACCCCUUGCAGGAUCAUGUGGCAGAACUCUGAAGGGUUGUAGGAGGGUAGCACACAUCAGUGCUGACUGGUCUUUCUGGGAUAAAUAAAAUAAUGUGAAUUUCCCAUACCACUUUAUAUGGAGAGGGUUUGGUCUAAGCAACAAAUUACCAAAGUAAAGUGGGCUGUGUAUCAAAAACUUGACCUCCUUCAGGAACAAAAUUUACUUUUAAAAAGCCCCAGUCCCAGUGCAUGUGGGCUCAUAAGCUUUGUGAACAGUAGAUACAUUUAUUCCAAAUACACCCCAUUGCUUUGCACAGCAGGCACUGUUGGAAUGGAGGCUGUAGCCUAAACCCUUUGCACUGGCCAAGUAUUCCUGCUGUCAUCCAGCUCCCUGCUCUUUGUGCUGAGCAGAGGGUGGGUACCCUGGGUGCCAGCAGGCAGCAUUAGAUUCCUGCCUUUUACUGGGCUUUCUCUCCUCACAGCACAGGGAGACUUGGCUCAAGUCCCUGGUGAGAGACUGCAUUAGGAACUGGCAGAGAACAGAACUGUAUGACUGAGAAGAGGCCACCUUAUAAAAAGCAGGAUCUCAGUCAAAGUAAGAUUAAAACAUGCUGACAACAUAAAUUACAUUUUUGUAAUAAACAAAGGGGGCAGAUCUUGCUGUCUGUAACUGAACAGGUUUUUGACUCCAGCAGCACUGUGGAAGUCAAAGAGUGUCACAAAGAAUUGCAAAUUACAUUCCCCAGCUCAGCAUGAUCUGGCCUAGUACAAACAGCUUUUGCUUAAAAUAGAUGAACAGAGGUGGGUUCAUCCCAGAAAUCAUUUCAUUCUGCUACAAAGCAUCCAUACAAAAUCAGUUUUUCUCCUUGAGCCAGUGGUAGAACCGUGCACAGGGAUGCAGCAGCCUUGCACCUUCACUCACAAGGGACAAUCUGCAUUUUCCACAUGGCAGCAAGGGUUGGCUUUUUACCAGAAGAUGUUUCCUUUGCUACUGAAAACCUUGACAAUUAGUGAGCAAAACAAACACUCUUAUGUUUGGGUUUUCUUACAGAAGGUCAACUUUGCUGUCUGGAAAAAAAAAUAAAAAGAAGGUUGGAAUUCCUCAACAAGUGUUUGCUCCUAAUUGAGUAGGAUGGAGAGUGGCAAGGACAGAACAGCUGAGUCAGUGAUACAACAUUUCUCUAGCCCUGGCUCCCUUCUGUCCCCACACAAUGUCAUAGACUCAUAGAGUGUCUGGAGUGGGAAGGAACCCAUAGGGAUCAUCAAGUCCAACUCCCUGCUCCUCACAGGACUCCCUAAAACUAAACCAUAGGCUAAAUGUUGCAUGUCUGCUUGUAACUUCUUGCAAUACAGGAUUUACCUCAACCCAACUGUUCUACUGCUUUAUUUACUUUGUAUUCAAUAUGUGCUAUAUUUACUAUAUAACAUUAAUCCUGGUGGUAUAUUAAGCAUGAGCACAGAUGGGAGCUGUAUUCCUGCUAAAUUGCAAAAACUGCAGGGCUCAUUUAACAACAGCUUAGAAACCAACCCCGUCCUGAGUGUUUUGGGCAGCAGUGAAGCCUUGUGAGUUUUGGCUCUGUUGUGCAAUCCUCAGUGUACAAGGCUGUUAACAAGUGUGGAGCAACAUCCUUGUGACAGCUUUGAUUUGUCGUGGUGUCACACCUGACAAACAGUGUCCAUCCAGAGUGGUGCAUGGCCAGGUGGAUUCUUUUUGGCUGGUGUACAAUACCCACUGGAAAGGGAAAACCAGGAGCUGUCUCCACAGUCCUGGCACAGUCUCAGCUCAAUCCUCAAGGUCUCUAGUGCUCCUCGUGUCUUACAGAGUUCAGAGAUGUUCAGUACCUCACCAAACUGAGCCCCUUGCACUCGUCACACACUCACAGGUGCUUCUGGCUUCUGUGGGGUUUGCCUCUUCAGAACCAUGUAAUUUUAGCUCAGCUUAUUUACUUUGGAAAGGAGCAAGCAGUAAUUUUAAAAUAUCUUAAGUACCCUUGAGAAGUGCAGAAUUAUAUGUUACAUCUUGUCAAAGCAAGUAAAACAGAAGGCCUUUUAA